GUAGGUGGCAAGCGUUGUCCGGAAUUAUUGGGCGUAAAGCGCGCGCAGGCGGUUCUUUAAGUCUGAUGUGAAAGCCCACGGCUCAACCGUGGAGGGUCAUUGGAAACUGGAGAACUUGAGUACAGAAGAGGAAAGCGGAAUUCCACGUGUAGCGGUGAAAUGCGUAGAGAUGUGGAGGAACACCAGUGGCGAAGGCGGCUUUCUGGUCUGUAACUGACGCUGAGGCGCGAAAGCGUGGGGAGCAAACAGGAUUAGAUACCCUGGUAGUCCACGCCGUAAACGAUGGGUGCUAAGUGUUAGGGGGGUUUCCGCCCCCUUAGUGCUGCAGCUAACGCAUUAAGCACUCCGCCUGGGGAGUACGGCCGCAAGGCUG
rnacentral:rRNA from 1 species